rnacentral:tRNA from 1 species
GAGGGUAUAAUUCAGUGAUAGAGUGCAUGCCUAGCAUGCAUGAAGUCCUGGGUUCAAUUCCCAGUACCUCUG